ACGGGAGGCAGCAGUGGGGAAUAUUGCACAAUGGGGGAAACCCUGAUGCAGCGACGCCGCGUGAGCGAUGAAGUAUUUCGGUAUGUAAAGCUCUAUCAGCAGGGAAGAUAAUGACGGUACCUGACUAAGAAGCUCCGGCUAAAUACGUGCCAGCAGCCGCGGUAAUACGUAUGGAGCAAGCGUUAUCCGGAUUUACUGGGUGUAAAGGGAGCGUAGGCGGAAGGCUAAGUCUGAUGUGAAAACCCAGGGCUCAACCUUGGGACUGCAUUGGAAACUGGUUUUCUAGAGUGUCGGAGGGGUAAGUGGAAUUCCUAGUGUAGCGGUGAAAUGCGUAGAUAUUAGGAGGAACACCAGUGGCGAAGGCGGCUUACUGGACUGUAACUGACGUUGAGGCUCGAAAGCGUGGGGAGCAAACAGGAUUAGAUACCCUGGUA
rnacentral:rRNA from 1 species